CAUCAACAAGCCUUUAUUAGAUUCUUACUAUGUGCCAGACAUUGUGGCAUGGGGAUACAAAGAUACCAUGGGGAUACAAAGAAAGGCAAAAACACUCUCUGCCCUCAGAAAGCUUACUCUCUAAUGGAGAUGACAACCUGCAAAGAACUAUGAAGGAGUUAAUUUCAUAGUCAGGACUGGAAAAGACCUUUUGAAGAAGGUAGGAUUUGAGCUGAGUUUCCAAAACAUCCAGGAACACAAGGAAACAGGUGUGGCAGUGUGGAGGAAAGAUUGAGGUCUUACCCUGUUCCUGAAUUGUUCACUAAGAACAAGCCCACAAGCCCUAUGGUCUAGAGCUGGGAUUGGCCAUAAAAUGCAAUGCUCUUCAGGGGAGCACCUAUCAGCAACAGUGCUAUUAAUAUCAGGAGAGAUAGCUCAGGUUGCCAUAGCCUCAUUCUCCAGAAGAACAAACAGAGAAGACCAACAUGUCAUCAGAGACUGGAGGUUCCCAGCAGGCUACAGUUAGAAUCAAGCAAAGCAAGUAACUUGAACCAAGAAGACUUAGAUCUGGGUGGAUGGAUUCCUGGAUUUGUAGGGGGCCUCCAACUCCAACCGUACUUGGGAGCUCAUUAUGACCUUAAAUAAGAAUGAAUUUCUGAUAGAAAAUAAACACUAUAGAAUCAAAUGGAAUACGGAUAUG
rnacentral:lncRNA from 1 species